GAUGAAGAACUUAGCGAAAUGCGAUAAGUAAUGUGAAUUGCAGAAUUCAGUGAAUCAUCGAAUCUUUGAACGCACAUUGCGCCCUCUGGUAUUCCGGGGGGCAUGCCUGUUCGAGCGUCAUUAUAACCACUCAAGCUCUCGCUUGGUAUUGGGGCUCGCGGUUCCGCGGCCCCUAAAAUCAGUGGCGGUGCCUGUCGGCUCUACGCGUAGUAAUACUCCUCGCGAUUGAGUCCGGUAGGUCUACUUGCCAGCAACCCCCAAUUUUUACAGGUUGACCUCGGAUCAGGUAGGGAUACCCGCUGAACUUAAGCAUAUCAAUAAGCGGAGGA
rnacentral:misc_RNA from 1 species